UACGAAGGGUGCUAGCGUUGUUCGGAAUUAUUGGGCGUAAAGCGUACGUAGGCGGCUCGGUAAGUCAAUUGUGAAAGCCCUAAGCUCAACUUGGGAAUUGCAAUCGAAACUGCCUUGCUUGAGUUUGGUCGGGGAUGGUGGAAUUUCUAGUGUAGGGGUGAAAUCCGUAGAUAUUAGAAGGAAUAUCGGUGGCGAAAGCGACCAUCUAGGCCAAUACUGACGCUAAGGUACGAAAGCGUGGGGAGCAAACAGGAUUAGAAACCCGUGUAGU
rnacentral:rRNA from 1 species